GAUGAAGAACGUAGCGAAAUGCGAUAAGUAAUGCGAAUUGCAGAAUUCCGUGAGUCAUCGAGUCUUUGAACGCACAUUGCGCCCCCUGGUAUUCCGGGGGGCAUGCCUGUCCGAGCGUCAUUGCUGCCCUCAAGCACGGCUUGUGUGUUGGGCCCCGUCCUCCGAUCCCGGGGGACGGGCCCGAAAGGCAGCGGCGGCACCGCGUUCGGUCCUCGAGCGUAUGGGGCUUUGUCACCCGCUCUGUAGGCCCGGCCGGCGCUUGCCGAUCAACCCAAAUUUUUAUCCAGGUUGACCUCGGAUCAGGUAGGGAUACCCGCUGAACUUAAGCAUAUCAAUAAGCGGAGGA
rnacentral:misc_RNA from 1 species